CUCCCCUCAAGGACAGCUGCUUUCGACGGCAUUGGAAGAUUUGCAAAAAGGAAUGAGCAGACUCUGAGAAUCUAACUAUCCACUUAAAGCGUCCUGGGAAACCAGAGGGCUUCCAAGGCGGCUUUUGAAACCCUUUUGUCUCCUGCAGCUGCAGGGCAGACAAGGAAGAAAAUCAUGUCCAGGAUCUCAUGGUCUGGGGGGCAAAUUUACAAACAACACAAAACGCAGAGCCUCCACAUGUUCGAUGUCAGAGAGAGGGCUCUGGGAGGGACCUGUAAGGAGGACCUGUGAGGAGAACAUCCGAGUAGACAGGCCUGAUAGAGGUGAAUGUGCAAAUGUCCCUGCCCCUCCUGGCUUGCAGAAUCAGCCUGCCUCCCUUCCUAGAGCAGAAAGACUCCUACUCAUCCUGAGACAAGCAAUGCUCUCAUCUGAGGUCUUACAGGAUGAUACUUGUCCUCCAGAUCUGCCACAUUGUCUCCAGGCUGACAAUCACGGUUGACAUCUCAGAACGAUCUGGCCAGGGGGAUGUUUGAUCUACAGGGAUUGCUGGUGAUGGGUGGUCAUGACCUUCCUAGGAGUGAGAUGGAUGGAUAGCUGGUAGACUGUCAGAUUCUCUCUCUCACUUGAUCUAACUGUAUUCAUAUACAGAAGGAAGGGCCAAUGUCCCUGUGGCCCAGAGGAAGAAAAGAUUUGUCCCCAGUCCAGGCUGCAGUGAAAGCUAACUCCCCUCUCAGGCCAUAGGCCAUAGGACUAAUCUGGUUGGAAGGUUCUAAAGGUGUCUGUGGGUAAGAAUAUUGUGUAGCACCUCUUAAAAGUCUCAUGAGAAGAAUCAUAAUACGGAUCCUGAAGAUUCUGGAAUAAAGCCAUAGCUUUUGUAGGAGAGAACAAGUCGCACUUAGAAAAAUAGCAUGAUGCUGAUCACACAGAAACAUUUAGUCCUCAUCGUGGAACACCGAGUGACCAUGAGACAGAGCUGCGUGUCACGAGCUGAGGGCCAUCGGAUCCGAGUCGAAGACCAUGUGGGUGUGACAAGAAUCUGUUCCAAAAAGGAAAGGAGACAUUCAGGAUUAGACUGAAGUCAGCCCAGAACUUUGAAGACCCCCAUCUCAUACAACGUUUUCCAGAGCCAGACAGACACUGAAUGGUGCUCAGCUUCCCUGAGUUGUCCACUGUUUUUGCCGUGGGGCCGUGAAGCCGUGGCGGCAACGAUGGAAACUAAGCGUGAAUCCAAACCCCCGGGCUCCUCUCACCAAGGCUGGCCUCGCUGCUGCCGCCACUGAAUUCCCUCCUUCGGGGAUCAGAGAGUGAUGCUGAGUCUUUGAUCCGGCCUCAGCUGGGAAGGCCUGCAGGUCCGCUGGCACCAGUGCACUGGCACUUCCUCAGUCCACCGCGAUCAGUCCACCGCGAAAUGUUAAAGAAUAACAGAUGUAACCCAGCAAAACUUCGACCAAUUCAGCAAGUUCACUAUGAAGUAAGUCCUACUCCUUGUAGCUUUGAAUACAGCUUCUUUAUAAACAAUCUUCUGUCACUUUCUGGUUCCUUUUCCUGGGGCCCUCUGUCCUUAUUUCUAUAUUGAUAUACCAUAUAUCUAUCUAUAUCAAUAUACUAUAUUGAUACUCCAUUUUGAUUUAUUGUUUAUCAAACAAUUUAUUGAUACUCUACAAUUUAUUGAUACUCUAUUUAUUGCCUGACUGAUACUCUAUCAAUCAGGCAAUAAAUGGUUGCUUCUGAUAGAAAUUCAUCCGCAAGUUGCUUAAGGGGGAAAAGAAAGGAAGUAGUUCCCUAGGUUAAAUGGAAGGUCCAGGGGUCGGGGGUCCAGGGCUUUGGACACAUCUGGACCCAAGGACACAUUUGUCUUUUUUCAGUAACAUCUUCUGUAGAUAGAAGAGGCCACUGCAAAUUCCAGGCUUCCGUGGUCCUUACCACUCACCAUUCCCGAGAGAGAGAGAGAGAGCGCGCGAGGCAGAGAGAGUGAGUGCCCUGCCUGGGGUCCCACCAUGGGUCCAAGAGCCUAGGAAUAGGCUACAUGCUAACUGUUAUUCUUUUGAUAAUCUUUAGACUAGAAUAGUCCGUACUGAUGAGGUCAUCAUCUCGUCUCCCUGAUGCAGCUGGUCUUGCUGGGGAAAAACCUCACCAACCGUUUGUCAUUUUUAUUUUCCCUACUCAUAAGGUGCCUUGCAAAAACAAGGGAUUUAGUAAGUGUUUGCGAGUGAGUGCAUGAGUGACGAAGGAAGAAAUAAUAACGUGCAAGGCAGUCCUCUAGCUCAUCACUCUGAGGAAUAGAACAUUGCUGGAGGGUGACUUCUGUGUUCUUCACAACAAAACCCCCAGGGAAGCGGGAAUCUCGCAGUCAGUCUGGAUAGUUCUGCCCUGCCCACUUCCUCAGCUGUUAUGAAACCCACUUAGAGAACUUGAGUUAGCUAUAUAUUCGAACUUAAAAUAUACCUAGGAACAAGGCAGACUCUCCAGUUGAUAUAAAGACCAAAGCCUCAGGGUGAGAAACCAGGCAUGUCAGCUGUGCUAUCAAGUAAACGCAGGUGAACAAACAAGGCAGAAACAAUAGCCCUUCCCGAGCCAGAGUUUACACAAUGCAGGUACUCAGCGGAGAGGAAAGACUGUCCAGACGGGAGGCCUCUCUAGGACCCUUCCUCGGUGCUGGACUUGCCAAGGCGUUCUGGGUGGUAACCUGACCUUGAGUUUUGCGCAGACAUCAUCUACAAGAGUUCAUUACCCCCACCAGACAACAUUUACGCCAUUGGUUAUCUCCAAAGAAAAGAGCAGCACGGGAUUGGAGGCUGCCAUCGACGGAGUUAAGGAGGGCACGAGGGCAGCCAGCGACACCACCUUCGGAGCUCGGUCAGGAUUGCCAGAGGAGACAACGAAGUCAGUGUAGCUCUUACUACUUGGCCAUGUGCCUUAGAUAGAGUGUUAGAUUCCCUAUCUGGGGAUUCUGCCCUUUGCUGGAAAGACGAGUUGACUGGGUGAUCUAAUUGUUCUCUCUCCCUUUGCCAACCACUCUAUGAAAUCCAUUCUUCUCGUUAUUGAGCAAUGCCCAGUGGCUCUCUCUGGGCACGGCACAGGAAGCUGCAAAUGUACGGGGACGAGACUUCUGCUCUGAUGUCCGCUUUUAUUUUAGUUUAAACAUUCUUAGAGGAUAGCCCAGGUUAAGCCAGACAUCCUGUUUACAAUGGGGCAGUAUUGCAGAGUGUGGGCGGGAAGGGGACAAUGCGCUCACGUCAGCUUCCUGCUCCAUCCGACGGGGCCACACACAAGCUUCCCCACCCCGGACUGCAGACUGAAUGCCGCUGAAAAGGGGGUUUGAGUAGCUCUUCGGUACAUGGAUCUCCGUGUUUAUAGGAAUGAAUGUUAUUUUGUGUAAUAAAUGAUUAUGAAUUAUUUAUA